AGAAAGGCUGCCCAUUUUUGUAGGGAAAGUCACGUUACUGUGUCUGAAGCCGUUGGUUUCGAACCGCCUGGCUCUGUAUCUCUAGCUAUUAUCUUUAAAAUGUUAAUACAUUUCCUUGAGAUAUCAAUUUUCCAAUAUUUGUAAAUGGAUAACAUGGUUUAGCUUGAACACGAGGAUUACAGCGGAAACCAUCUAUCAAAAGAUUUCAGACAAAAUUGCGGAGUUCCUCCUAUGGAUGGUGGAGCAAUGAGCUUCUGAAAGACACUUGAUCACAUGUGAAGGAGCACGAGAGGAGUCUGCAGGCACAGUCAUGCCCCCGACAACAUGUCAGGACUCUGGGGUUGAGGCCUGUACUUCAGUGUACGUCAAACAGAGAGACAAAGACCUCACACCAGCUCCUAUCCUGCGCUGACCCCAUGGUUUAACCGCCAGGAUUAAAAAUGAGCAUUAGCAGUGAUGAGGUCAACUUCCUGGUGUACAGAUACCUGCAAGAGUCGGGCUUCUCCCACUCGGCUUUCACCUUUGGCAUAGAGAGCCACAUCAGCCAGUCCAAUAUCAACGGAGCCCUGGUGCCCCCUGCUGCCCUCAUCUCCAUCAUCCAGAAGGGCCUGCAGUACGUGGAGGCAGAGGUCAGCAUCAACGAGGAUGGCACUCUUUUUGACGGGCGGCCCAUCGAGUCGCUGUCCCUGAUCGACGCGGUUAUGCCCGACGUGGUGCAGACGCGGCAGCAGGCCUACAGGGAAAAGCUGGCCCAGCAGCAGCAGGUGGGCAGCACCAGCGGCACCCAGGGCCUCCAACCUGGCGGUGCCAAGAACGGAGAGGGAGGCACCGCUGCCAACGGCGAGGAGAACGGCGCCCAUGGCUUAGCCAACCACCUUAUAGAGAUGGAGGUGGACCAGAAUGUGGCGAUCCCCCAAAACAAGGCCAUGGUGCUGAGGGGCCACGAGUCCGAGGUGUUCAUCUGUGCCUGGAACCCCGUUAACGACCUGCUCGCCUCUGGGUCUGGGGACUCGACGGCGCGGAUCUGGAACCUGAGUGAGAACGGCAGCUCCACGCAGCUGGUGCUGAGACACUGUAUACGGGAGGGAGGCCAGGACGUACCCAGCAACAAAGACGUCACCUCACUGGACUGGAAUAGUGAGGGUACGCUGCUAGCCACAGGCUCGUACGACGGCUUUGCCAGAAUAUGGACUAAAGACGGUGACCUCGCCAGUACCUUGGGCCAGCAUAAAGGUCCUAUAUUUGCCCUUAAAUGGAAUAAGAAAGGAAACUUCAUCCUCAGUGCAGGAGUAGAUAAGACCACCAUCAUUUGGGACGCUCACACAGGAGAGGCCAAGCAGCAGUUUCCCUUCCACUCUGCGCCGGCCCUGGACGUGGACUGGCAGAGCAACAACACGUUUGCCUCCUGCAGCACUGACAUGUGCAUCCACGUGUGUAAGCUGGGCCAGGACCGGCCUGUCAAGACUUUUCAGGGACACACGAAUGAAGUGAAUGCAAUCAAGUGGGAUCCCACGGGGAGUCUGCUGGCCUCCUGCUCUGACGACAUGACACUCAAGAUUUGGAGUAUGAAGCAGGACUCGUGUGUCCACGACCUGCAGGCCCACAGUAAGGAGAUCUACACCAUCAAGUGGAGUCCCACGGGACCCGGGACCAACAACCCCAAUGCCAACCUGAUGCUGGCCAGCGCGUCGUUUGACUCGACGGUGCGUCUGUGGGAUGUGGAGCGAGGCGUGUGCAUCCACACGCUCACCCGCCACCAGGAGCCCGUCUACAGUGUGGCCUUCAGCCCCGACGGGCGCCACCUUGCCAGCGGCUCCUUCGACAAGUGUGUCCACAUCUGGAACACACAGACGGGUGCUUUAGUCCAUAGCUAUAGGGGAACGGGGGGCAUCUUCGAGGUGUGCUGGAACGCCACGGGCGACAAGGUGGGAGCCAGUGCAUCAGACGGAUCGUUGCAGCUGAGGAGUAAUGAAUCAAACGGCUAGUUUGUCGAUGGUCUUGAGCAUCUACAGGUCAUCUGUAAGGGAUUGUUCUAGAAGUUCCACACCAUAGUGCCCUCCAAGCUCAUCACUAAGCCCAGGAACCUGGGACUGAACACAUCCUUCUGCAACUGGAUCCUGGACUUUCUGAGGGACCACAGUGGGGGUUUGUGUAUUAGAUCUGAGGAAAUGACGCUCGUUUGGGGAGCCAUGGACCGACUACGAAUGUGUACAUAGCCAAAAUGACUGUCCCUGCCUGUCGUCUACACUGCUGUAGUCCCAUCAGAAGCCAUGGCCUGCCAUCACAACCACCACCACAGACGGAGCGCCCAACACCCACAUAAACACUUAAACUACACCUCCAGAGAAGGGGGUCUGCCCCCCCACCUCAUCAAGUCACUCAGACCCACAGGGGAGAGAGAUUACUUUUUACGUUCAGAGAAUUUAAAAAAUCCCAAAGGGGACCCAUUGCAUACAUACCAAAAUCUGCUAUUUUGUUUACUUUGUUUAUUUUUAUCCUUUAUACCAGAAAUUAGACAUGUCUUUUUUCCCCUCACGUCGUUGGUGUGUGCAUAUUGUACAUGUCAGCAUGUUUUGUCCUCCUUUUGCCGUAGGUUUGUGUUACAUGUCGGGGAAAGAGUGGAGAGGUCAGUAGGCUUUUUGUUGAUUUUACCAUUAGGUUUUGAAACUGUUUAUUGGGAGAAAUCCAUUCACUUUGGCACUGUACUUUUUUUUUAUGGCUCAAGAAAACAUUGAACAAAUCUAUAUUUCAUAAGUUGAAAUGGGUUAAUUGUAAUUGUAAUUUUGAUGCUUGUUUUUCAGUUUGCCCAAAAUUGUUUGUUUCAAUUUUUUUUUUUUUUUCAGGGAGCAUUUUUAGUGAGGACGAAUGCCCAAUGUCUCAUUUUGCUUGUUUACUUUGAGAAAUGGUUUCAGGUGUGAAAACUGUUAGAUCUCUGGACUAAAGAUCAUCACCGUUAGCUACUACAUAACCCCAUCCUGUCAUAUUUUAAGGACAUGUUUAGGUUUCAGUGUUAUGUAGAAGGAAAGGCUGUUCGUCCAUCUGUGCCUCCGUGGCUCUUUUAGCCAGAACACAGGAAUGGCAGUGCUUUGGGUAGCUCAUGAAUGAAUAGGACACAGGACAACCCCCAUACAAACGCCGAUGUCAAAGUUAGCCGGGAGUUUUCAUACCCGAAAUUGGUCAAACAUGAGAUUUUGUCAACGUUCCAAGACUACUUUUGAGUUGUAACUUCUGACCAACUUUGAUUUUGGAGUGAACCAUUGUUUCAAGUGUUCUGUUUGAGGACGCACUGCUGUGUCUGCUCUUAGGUCAUUGUGGAUGAUUGAUUUUCUACCCAGCACCAACACUUGGGAGACAGGCUGUGUCAAGGCCUGUGCAUGGAUAGAUGGUGCUUAUUUCUUUUGUGGUGGUCAGAAGGUGAUGUUUUCUAGGCAGGGAGAUGAGAAGCGGACUUUGGAACAUAUGACUUGACGUAACAUUCUAACUACAUAUAAUAUAUAUAUAUAUAUAUAUAUAUAUAUGUGUGUGACAUCACAGGGGAUUAUUUUGUAUGGCUCUUGUAUGCAAGGUUGGUUUUGAGAAAUUCUCCAUAACUCUCGAAGACACGCUUGGAAAUGUGUUAUUCUUAUGCAUCAUGUGGGUCUUUCACCAUGAGAAAUGGUUCUUUAUAAAAUACCAUUAAACGGUCAUAGCUGUAAAAGAGCAGCCCUAAGAAUGGGUUUGUUUUAAGUUAUUUUCUGCACUUAAGAAUAAUGCAAAACAGGGACAUGUGUUCAAGCAAUGGUUGGGGUCAUUUCCAUUUGGAUUAAUUCUGGAAGUGAACUCCCAAUUCAAGAAUUUGAAUAAAAUAUUAAUUGAAAAUAAAUGGCAACUUUUUUCCCCCGUUAUUUAAUUGGAAUUUGAGCACUUUAAAUGGCUUUGACCACCAACCCUGGUUGGUUCUUCCAGACGCAGGAUAAUCCUGUUAGUUUAAUGUCUCUCCAGUAGCUGAACGCGUGCAGUCGUUCUGUGAAAAAGCGAGGGACAAUAGUAGUUUCUAAACUGUUGACUUGUUGGGUACACAUUGGAUCCAACCCAACUUCAUGGCAUUCCAACAUCUCUUAGCCCUAGCUAACAUCCAGUGGCUUUAAAAACACCAGUGUUUUAUUUAACAACAACAAAAUAUCCAAAAGCCUCCUUUGCUCAGAAAGAACGUCACUUGUUUUACAAAUGCAUUUUGUACAGAAGCUAGCUAAGAGUAUUUUGAAGUUUGCUUCAAAUAUAACCAACAGUGAGUGGAUCGUACCAUGAAGACUAUUAGGAAGUCUGACAGUGGAAUGGUAUUUUAUAAUGCUUGUUUUAAAAUGAUCUUUUUACACUGCAUUCAAGUGUUUGCUAUUUCUUGUUCCUACCUACAGUACUAAUUCUAUCUUUGCUAUGCCUAAAAAGCACUUGAAGGUUUUGUACUCUUUGGAAAAACUUUUAUAAUUGUGAUUUAUUUGUAGCUAUGUACGCAAAAACAAGAACAAUGAAUCUAAACUUUAAUGUGGAUGUAUCCAUAACACCCUGGACCAUGUAGGUAAAUACCAGUGUGCAGAUUUUUUUGGUUUUUGUUUAAUUUAGUCUUUGCCCUCACCCAUGUUAUUUUCUCUCACUUACACAGAUGCUGAGACUCUGCAACCUACGCAUCUGACUGUUGUAAUAUCAAUCAGACCUUUGAAACGUCUAGAAUAAAAAAUCUAUUUUGAUAA